rnacentral:tRNA from 1 species
GAUUAAUAAGCUUUAAUAGUAUAUAUUUUGAAAAUAUAAGAAAAAAACACCGUUUUUAUUAAUCU